AUUUCUUGUAGUCAGUCUUCAUGUACUUUCUUUGCAAAUCGAAAGUAUUACUUUUGGUUGGUGACAUAUGUAUGUAUUACAUAUUCACAUGUGUAUGACAUAUUCACAUGUCAUGUUUAUACGUGUGUGCACAGCAAAGGAGGACCAAGGAGGUGACGGUGAAAUUGGUGGAGGUUUUUGGAUUUAGAAUUGGUGCAAUAGAUAUCAACAACAACAACACAGAAAACAGUGGAAAAUAACAUGGCAUGAUGACAAGACAACAACAAAUCACAUCGGACAUUUAGAUUAGCAGUUGCACAACCUCUUUCCGACGAGCUGAACCCUUUUAUGAUGUACAUAUGGGAGAUGAUUGUUUGGAAUUGGCAUCAAACAAUAUUGGUUGAUUAGUUUCGUUGGAUCCUUACAGGAUAGUUAUAAGGAAAUCGUUCGCGUUUAGUACUAAUGUAUACAUUUGCUAAUACAUAAUUUAAAUGUAAAAUAUUAUUAAAUUAUACAAAUGAAUGUUCGAAUACUAAUAACAGUCGUAAUAGUAGUUUAAUUUUAUUUGUAUUGUAUAAAAAACAACUACAAAAAAUUAAAAUUUAAUAAUUAAUACUAACUUUAUUUGUAAAAUAUGUAAAUUUUGUCAAUUUAUAAAUGAUAGCUGCAAAAACGUUUGUAAAAAUGAAAGUUCACUUUGUACUGAAAGGCUAAUAUUAAAAAUUAAUCUAUAAUAAUUAUUAAAAAUUUAAAAUAUUAUACCAUACUAAUUUAUAAAU